AACAACGCUGGCGGCGUGCCUAACACAUGCAAGUCGUACGAGAAAGUCGGCUUCGGCCGAUGAGUACAGUGGCGCACGGGUGAGUAGCGCGUGGGUAAUCUGCCCCCCGGUCAGGAAUAACCCGCCGAAAGGCGGGCUAAUACCCGAUAACACUGACGCUCCGCGGAGCGUCUUUCAAAGAAGGCCUCUGUUUACAAGCUUUCGCCGGAGGAUGAGCCCGCGUACCAUUAGCUAGUUGGCAGGGUAAUGGCCUACCAAGGCUACGAUGGUUAGCUGGUCUGAGAGGAUGGCCAGCCACACUGGAACUGAGACACGGUCCAGACUCCUACGGGAGGCAGCAGUGAGGAAUCUUGCGCAAUGGGGGCAACCCUGACGCAGCAACGCCGCGUGAGUGAGGAAGGUUUUCGGACUGUAAAGCUCUGUCGAGCGGGAAGAAGUGUACCAUGGCUAAUAUCCAUGAUAUUUGACGGUACCGCUAGAGGAAGCACCGGCUAACUCCGUG
rnacentral:rRNA from 1 species